UACGUAGGGACCAAGCGUUGUUCGGAUUUACUGGGCGUAAAGGGCGCGUAGGCGGCUUGACAAGUCACUUGUGAAAUCUCCGGGCUUAACUCGGAACGGCCAAGUGAAACUGUCAUGCUAGAGUGCAGAAGGGGCAAUCGGAAUUCUUGGUGUAGCGGUGAAAUGCGUAGAUAUCAAGAGGAACAUCAGUGGCGAAGGCGGCUUACUGGACCAACACUGACACUGAGGCACGAAAGCGUGGGUAGCAAACAGG
rnacentral:rRNA from 1 species